rnacentral:rRNA from 1 species
UCCUCCUAAAGAGUAACGGAGGAGCACGAAGGUUGGCUAAUCCUGGUCGGACAUCAGGAGGUUAGUGCAAUGGCAUAAGCCAGCUUGACUGCGAGCGUGACGGCGCGAGCAGGUGCGAAAGCAGGUCAUAGUGAUCCGGUGGUUCUGAAUGGAAGGGCCAUCGCUCAACGGAUAAAAGGUACUCCGGGGAUAACAGGCUGAUACCGCCCAAGAGUUCAUAUCGACGGCGGUGUUUGGCACCUCGAUGUCGGCUCAUCACAUCCUGGGGCUGAAGUAGGUCCCAAGGGUAUGGCUGUUCGCCAUUUAAAGUGGUACGCGAGCUGGGUUUAGAACGUCGUGAGACAGUUCGGUCCCUAUCUGCCGUGGGCGCUGGAGAACUGAGGGGGGCUGCUCCUAGUACGAGAGGACCGGAGUGGACGCAUCACUGGUGUUCGGGUUGUCAUGCCAAUGGCACUGCCCGGUAGCUAAAUGCGGAAGAGAUAAGUGCUGAAAGCAUCUAAGCACGAAACUUGCCCCG